GACGUAGGGCGCGAGCGUUGUCCGGAUUUAUUGGGCGUAAAGAGCUCGUAGGCGGCUUGUCGCGUCGAAUGUGAAAACUCGGGGCUCAACUCCGAGCUUGCAUUCGAUACGGGCAGGCUAGAGUUCGGUAGGGGAGACUGGAAUUCCUGGUGUAGCGGUGAAAUGCGCAGAUAUCAGGAGGAACACCGGUGGCGAAGGCGGUCAUCUGGGCCAAUACUGACGCUGAGGAGCGAAAGCGUGGGGAGCGAACAGG
rnacentral:rRNA from 1 species